rnacentral:tRNA from 1 species
GCUUAUGUAGUAUAAGAAGUACCUGAUCUUUUCGCGAUCAAAGUAAAGUUGACUUUUAUAAGUU